AAACACCACCGAAAGUGUAUUCCAGAGACCACCAAUUUCAAGAAAGGAUCUCCAAAAGAGGGGCUCCAACGUCAAAAGACGGAAGGGAGAAUGGUGCCCCUGAUAUCCUUUUAGCAGAUUCACAGUGCAUGGUGGAUCUCAACCUUGGCCAUACAGCAGGGGCACUAGGCACAUUUUGUUGCAUACACUUCCCUAAAUACAGAGUCCGAAGUUCAGUCCUGGAGAGGCUGAUUCAGGAUGUCUGGUAAGGCAAAAUGGUCUAGUUUUAAAUGCUUCCCAGGUCAUUUGAUGCAACUAGUUUGCUAGUUUUAAAUGCUUCCCAUGUGAUUUGAUAUAACUAGUUUGCUAACUACUGCUUGUCUUAAAUGCUCUGAGUAGCCCUUCAGUAAAAGAAUCUAUUCAACUUGAUUGUCUUAGAAUCCUCCAAAUUUGUCUGAUCAUGGAAAAUUUAGGCAGUUCACUGAUAGAAUGUGCUCUGGGUAAUGCUACCCUAAAUGCUGAGAACUCACUAAAUGACUCUGCCUUAUCCAGUCCCAACCACAAGCCAUCUUAUGAAACUAUGAAUCACAACUCAGUUGUGGGUCUUAACCAGUACGUUAAAAAGUUUAAGAGUAGGCAUUACUACACAAAAUGUGUAUGCUGGAUCAUGAUGGAAAAUGCUUUUUAUAGUGAAACCUGCAGUCCAAAAUUGGAAAGCCUAGUCCCAGAGAAAGCCUAAGGAGCAACUUUGCCAUUGGCAAGAUUAGCUUCAGACAUGAGUCUGGAAGCAGUUUUGACACCCUGGGCCAGAGCAGGCAAAUGGGCUCAACAAAUGCUACUUCUUAUAUCAUUGUGUCUUAGGAUGUGAGCCAGCUUUUGAACUCUGACAUUGGAAACAAUGAUCAGGAACAUAAGACAGAAGCCAUAAAACCUUACCCCAAGGAAUCAUAACUGUAAUUAGUUACUUACAAAUAACUUAGAACCAUAGCAUCCACAGAAUCAGAUUCCCAGCCCCUCUGCCAGUUGAGUUGUCCACUAGAGAUACCACAAGCCCUCACUAAUAUUUCCAGUCAUUGAAGACCAGUUCAGAAGGAACUGGCUCAUAUUCAGUAAA
rnacentral:lncRNA from 1 species